rnacentral:tRNA from 1 species
GAAUACCGACAGGAUUCGAACCUGUACUACAGCGAUUACCUCGCUCCGCUCUACCGUUGGCGUACGUUACU